UUUCGCCCGCUGAACUGUCUCAUUCCUCGCGUCCAAUGACAAGUUUGAAGUAUCCUGCGAUGAGGAAAUUCCAUGAAGACCUGCGAUCAAGCCAGAGGGUCCACUUGGUGCUUAACUCUCCUCCUUGACUGCCAGAAGAGGUGAUUUCUUGGCUUACUUGAAGGUUAAAGCAGCAUGCCACAAAAGAUGAUACAUGAGUAGCACAGUUGCAAAGAUGAUGUGCAAGAGGAACAGAAGAAAUCUCUGGACACGUUGAUAGGAGCGCUUUGACGACUGUACAGAAGCUGUCACAGCAGGAUGGAGUCCCGCCUUCUGAUGCAGACUCCAGUUUGACAGUCAAACAUGGCUGACGUGAAGAUAACUGGAUUUUUUUUGCCAGAUGACCUUGGAAGUGGAAGAGCUGCCCUGAUCGCCUGAAGUGGAUUUUUGAAUGGCUGCCAUAAGAUUCUGCUUGUGUAUUGAACGAAAUGUUGACUUACCAGCCAUUGCCAGAAUAAAGCUUCAAAUCCAGCCUGA